AACGCGAAGAACCUUACCUGGGCUCGAACGGCUUAAGAACAUCUUUGGAAACAGGGACUUCCCGCAAGGGACUUGAGUCGAGGUGCUGCAUGGCUGUCGUCAGCUCGUGUCGUGAGAUGUUGGGUUAAGUCCCGCAACGAGCGCAACCCUUGUCCUGUGUUGCCACUCCCGUUAAACGGAAGCACUCGCAGGAGACCGCCAGCGAUAAGCUGGAGGAAGGUGGGGAUGAUGUCAAGUCAUCAUGGCCUUUAUGUCCAGGGCUACACACGUGCUACAAUGGCCGGUACAAAGCGCUGCAAACCCGCGAGGGGGAGCUAAUCGCAAAAAACCGGUCUCAGUUCGGAUCGCAGGCUGCAACUCGCCUGCGUGAAGCUGGAAUCGCUAGUAAUGGUGUAUCAGAACGAUACCGUGAAUACGUUCCCGGGCCUUGUA
rnacentral:rRNA from 1 species